rnacentral:rRNA from 1 species
UGAAUACGAGAUGCUACGGCGUCGAAGCAGUCUAUGUCAUACUUCCAAGAAAAGCUCGCACUGUCAUAAACAAAUAAUGCCUGUACCAUAACCGACACAGGUGGGUAGGUAGAGUAUACUAAGGGGGGCGAGAUAACUCUCUCUAAGGAACUCGGCAAAAUGACUCCGUAACUUCGGGAGAAGGAGUGCCUUAUUUAUAAGGUUGCAAUAACAAGAUCCAAGCAACUGUUUAUCAAAAACACAGGUCUCCGCUAAGUCGUAAGACGAUGUAUGGGGGCUGACGCCUGCCCAGUGCCAGAAGGUUAAAGAAGUUGGUUAGCAUUCGCGAAGCUGAUAACUGAAGCCCUGGUGAACGGCGGCCGUAACUAUAACGGUCCUAAGGUAGCGAAAUUCCUUGUCGGGUAAGUUCCGACCCGCACGAAAGGCGUAAUGAUUUGGAUACUGUCUCGGAGAGGGGCUCGGUGAAAUAGACUUGUCUGUGAAGAUGCGGACUACCUGCACCAGGACAGAAAGACCCUAUGAAGCUUUACUGUAACUUGAGAUUGAAAUUGGACUUUACUUGCGCAGUAUAGGUGGGAGGCGUUGAUAAUAUUCUUGCGGGAUUAUUUGAGCCAUCAGUGAGAUACCACUCUUGUAAUGUUAGAUUUCUAACUUUGUAUCAUUAUCUGGUCAAAGGACAGUUUCAGGCGGGCAGUUUGACUGGGGCGGUCGCCUCCUAAACGGUAACGGAGGCGCACAAAGGUUUCCUCUGAACGGGUAGAAAUCGUAUCUAGAGUGUAAAGGCAUAAGGAAGCUUGACUGUGAGACCUACAAGUCGAGCAGGGACGAAAGUCGGUCUUAGUGAUCUGACGGUGCUGAGUGGAAAGGCCGUCACUCAACGGAUAAAAGUUACUCUAGGAUAACAGGCUGAUCUCCCCCAAGAGUUCACAUCGACGGGGAGGUUUGGCACCUCGAUGUCGGCUCAUCGCAUCCUGGGGCGGUAGUACGUCCCAAGGGUUGGGCUGUUCGCCCAUGAAAGCGGUACGCGAGCUGGGUUCAGAACGUCGUGAGACAGUUCGGUCCAUAUCCGGUGUAGGCGUUAGAAUAUUGAGAGGAGCCUUCUUUAGUACGAGAGGACCGAGAAGGACAUACCUCUGGUGUACCAGUUAUCGUGCCAACGGUAAACGCUGGGUAGCUAUGUAUGGAGUGGAUAACCGCUGAAAGCAUCUAAGUGGGAAGCCCACCUCAAGAUAAGUAUUCUCAUC